GAGGGUAUAGCUCAGCGGUAGAGCAUUCGACUGCAGAUCGAGAGGUCCCCGAUUCAAGCCCAGGUGUCUUCU